AAUAUUUGAAUUUAAAUAUUUCUAAAAUUACUUGAAUAUUAAUUUAAUUUAAAUAUUUUAUUAUUAUACAGAACAAACUUAAUGAGCUGUGGCACCACUAAUAUGUGGCACUUUUUAAAUCUGGUGAUUUUUGUCAGUUUGGGGAAAGUAUGGAGCUAAGGCAACAUACAAUGAAUAUCCAAUGCUUCAAGACACAGAUUUUCAGUGCCUAGACAAAGCAAGAAUGUCAGAGAAGCAGAAUGAACUCUCAUAAGAGGCUGCUUUGUUACUCCAAAAUUGUCUCAGACCAGAUUAGGUGAUCCAAAGCAUAUUCUAGAUUUGUUUUAAAUAUGAAUGUAAUUUGCUUUAUGAAUCCUACCUUCUUUCAUCCCUCUCUUAUCCUAUCUUUUUAUUUCCCUUAUUUAUCAAUUGAAAAUUUGUUUACAAGGUGCUUAGAGCUGCUAAGAACUUAUGGCUACAAUUUCAAACUGUGCAGCUAUUUCCAAAAUUAUUCUUCAGAAAUAUUUAUAAAAUUAUUCUUGGUACUCUCUACACAUGUAGGAUUUGUGUUUAAAACUCAAACCACAACAACUUUUCUGAUCUAUUAGCCCUAUGAAAAAAUGUGUAUAUAUCCUUUUCUGCCCAUCCCUUUUAUCACUUUGUGUGCUGUGUGCCUGUGCUCAUAAUUAUCCACAGUAUCACACAGGAAAAUACAGCCAUUCCGAUAACUUGGAAUUAUUAAUUGAGAUGCUAUAGAUUUUAACAGUGACCUGUCCUGCAACAGUACUUGAAAAUUCGCUGGAAGCCAGUGGUGACCCUGAGAUGCAGAUCCAUCAGAUAUGACUCAUUAAACAAGGACCUGAAAGGUAUUGUCUGCUUUGGAAACCACAAAAAAGUUAAAUAAGCAACUGAAAAAAAUGUCUACACUUGUAAAAUGGAAAAAGAAUCUUCUCUCCUUUAACUGAUCCAUUAAUAGUUUGAUAGUUGCCAUACUUUUCAGACUCUGGCCUGAGUAACAAAAACAGAUGGAGUCUGUGGGCCACUAAUGCAAUCUCUUUCGAAUUAUUGGCAUUGUGGCUGUCUGAUCUUCUUGUUAAUCUUAAAAUUACAGUAAUGCCCAUGGAUCAGGACCUUACUACCUCAAAACACAGGGCAGUUCCUGUCCUGUUGGACUCACAGCUCGUAUUCCUGACAGGCCAGACACAUAUCAGAAGAUAUGUGUGGAGAUGGGGCCAGCUCUCAUAGAAUAGAGUUUGGAUAAGAUCUCAUCUUGACCCUUGCUCAAUCAGUAGUGAAGAGGAAGACACUAUGGACACCACUGAUGAAUUAAUACAAAAAUGAAAUAUUUAAGCAAAGCUAGUUGAAUAUGGGUUAUUUUGAUGCUAGAAGAAUGCCACAGUAUUCAAAUGAAAGCACAGAAAAUGUGAUUGUGAUAUCACUGGAAGAGUCAAGGAGUCCUCAAAUGUCUCAAUGCAUUAUGAGGUUAAACAGGCAGUGAACACUGGACUGUGAUAGAAUUUAUGUUCAAAGAUUUUAUGUCUGAGUGAAGCUGAGGGAGGUCAAACAAUUUGUGUAAAUGGUCAGUACUUUUUUGAGUGUCUUGCAACAAAAGCAGAAAGGAGGAGGCUGAUGAAGUCAGAAGUCAAGGUCAAAGCUAAUACAGACCAGAGGAACUAGUGCUUUUCUGACUGAAACUGUUGGAGAAGCCUUUGGGGCACUAGAGACAGGUGAAAUAGGAGGUGAGGACAAAGUUACCUCAGCCUGACUUCCACAUAUCUCAUUUGUGGAAAGAAUUUUUUGAGUCCAUCAGUUGAGGAAAAUAAUAUGGAUACUAGAAAUGGGCUCAUGUUUUCUAACUGCUGGAUCUUAUCCAAGCAGCAAGUAAUCAUGGUGACAUUCUGAUUCCCACAGAGAUAAGAGCACCUGUAGUGAACAUCGUGAUCCACUUCAAGUCUGUCUUCCCUGGUGGACUGUGAGAAGCUUGGAGAUACCAGCUUCACUUCUGUAGGAUGAGCCUUAACUCUAUAAUUAGCAAUGUAUGAAUAAAGACUAAAAAAAGUCCAAUAAGAUGUAUAUCCAGAGUAUGUAGGCAAACACAACUGGGUGUAUUUGGUGCAGUGACUAGAGUUUAAGUCUGUAAGAAUUCUCUGCAAUUUUUUUUUCUGAAUAGUUUACCUGUAUAGACAGUUUAAGAAUUAACUUUAUUCCUUAGGCUGAUAUAUGUGCGAAAUCUCUGCUCACAAAGCAGGUGAAAUCCAGCUUACUAGUUCAACAGAGGGACUAGUUCAGUUCUGAAAAGCAGAAUAUAUCCAAUGAGCCAAAGCUUUACAGUCUGAUCCUAUCAGUAACUCCAGGCACUGAUCCUACUUGCAUCUGCCUGUAUUAAUGCAUUCCUGUGUCACAGCCUGCCAUUAACAGGACUCCAAUUUGAAUACAAGCACCUACUUACAAAGAUCAGGUUUCACAACUUGGCUCUCACAGACAAAAAUGUGACAUUCAGUAACAUCAUUAUUCCCUGACACAGGAAAUCAUUAGGAAAAAUCAGUAUUUUGGGCAAAACCUAAUAAAACUAGGUAUUUCUGCCAGUAAAGUGCAGUUCAUUUUUAUUUACAGUGGUAUUAGACACCAUUUGAAGAGUUUAAAAAGCAACUGUUGAUAUUUCCCCAUACAGGAGCAAAUAAUGAAGAAAAAGUUUGAAACUGUAAUCUUGGGUAAAUCAUAGACAAAUGAAAUGAACAGCUGUGGUUAGGGUGGGAUGGGAUUGAUCAUGCUUGCAAAGUUUUAUGAAUGAUACUUUUUUCCUUAAUCAUAACCUUAGGGGUGGGAGGGAUUGAGAACAGGACAUGCCUUAGGGUUGGAAUGUCAAAUUUAACUUUGAAUUUCCUGGAUUUUUAUCAUCAUGCAUGAAAAAGUGUAAUGUUAUUCAAACAUAGCUUCUUUAAUCUUGAUUUUGGUAUAAAAAUAUUUUAUUGUUGAAAUGGAAUGCAAUAAAAUAUGUAUUCUUUACAUAGAAGUCUAGAUUUAUUAAAAAUCUUUAUUACAAUUAUUUAAUUUUACUGUUUGAUUAUUAUGUACUAGUUGCAUUAAUUAAUGUUUUUUUUCUCUUCCACUUCUCACAAUUUGUAAAAUGCAGGGAAAAUGUCAGUCUGAAAGCUAUUUUUAAGUGAAGAUUUUGCUUAUAUACCAACAGAAUAAAUGUAUGUUUGAUGUAGGACCAAGAUUCACCCUUUUCCCUUUUUUUCUAUUUUUUCUGGAAUUUACAGAUUCUUUUAUAGUUCACAGGUGUAUCUCCUGCAACUAGCAAGGGGACUGAACUGAAAGUCAUCUCCAAAAAACAGGUGUCCUUGGCCAAGCUUCUCAACCAUCCAUUGCCUUGCUAGCUUCUGGCUAUGAAAAGGUUUCAAACUAGGUGAAAGGUGUUGCUUACUGCCAACUGAGAUGAGAGAAUCUACCAUUUUGAUAGAAAAAUCUUGGACAAGCUGAGAAAAACUCUCAGACACUGACUGAGAAAACAAGACUAAAUAACUGAGUGAGUCUCUUCUGGAACCUGAACUUUUCAUAUUUUAUCUGCCACCGUUUCCCAUUUUACUUUUCAAGUUUCCUGAGCUGACUGUUUACAGGAAACCACCAAGAAGACAUAGAAGCCAAUUUUGUCCAUCAGCUUAUCCUUUCUGAUUUCAGCUUCACAACUCAGAAAGUGAUGACUGGAACAUCAAGAACCAAUGCAGCCUAAUGCAGCCACUUGUAUGGUCUAAGACCUCUUAUUAGUUUUUCUUUUGGCUAAAUAGGAAUCUUUCUGAUUAAUUGAAAUGCAACGACAUCAUACAAGAAGUGGAAAGAAAACAAAUGAAAAAGCAAAUUUUUAAUAAUUAAUUUCUUUGGUAUUUAGAGAUGAUGUGCAGACCAAUAUCUAGUCUGAGCUAAAGUAGGCAGGGAAAUAAAAGGUGACGGAAUUAGACUCUGAAGUUAGUUGCAAAGUAAAGUUGAGGAAAGAUGUGAGUUUUUUGAGGUAGAAAAGUUACUCAGAAAUAAUACAGAAGAAAUUGAAGUAGAAAUUGAAUUUGUGGGUUUUGUCUUGGUUUUCACAAUCAUUGUCUGAUCUUACACCUCUGCAUUGAUCAAUGUAAUUUGGGGAAGAGGUGGAAACCAAAUAGUGCAGUAGAAACAAGUAACUAUUACUGGCAGAAAUUUAAAGAUAGUGGAGAUGCAUGGCAUUCAUCCAAGGCCACUGGAAGAGCUUGUUUCAGAGAUUGCAAUCUUACAGUCUCUGAAAAAAGUCUGUGGUUAUCAGGGAAAUCCCUUGCAACUAAAAAUGUCUAACACUACAUCUAUCUUUAGGAAAAAUGAAAGGAGGACUUGGGGAGUUUUAGGGCCUAUCAAUCCCUGUAAACACUGUGAAGCAUGGCCCUUUGGAAUCCAUCUUCAAACACUGGAAAGCAAUCAGGAAUAACUAGUUCAGACUUGACCACCUUGAUUGCCUGAUUCAUGAGAUGGCAUGUGGAGCAGAGAGGGGGAAAGCAAUGGAUACCCAGUAAUCAGGAUGGCUUUCGUCACUGUCCCCAAAAGGAUUCUCUCUGAAUCUGAGGAAUUAUGAACUGAAAGAAGAGUUUGUUAAAUGCAUAGCAAAUUGGUUCUUCCACCACUGUGAAAGUGUAGUGGAAUCACUUUUUGAGUUCCAGCUGGUAAUAAGCAAAGUAAAACCCUAUGGUUUGGCACUGGGAUUCAUAUUGUUUAACAUUUCCAUCAAUGGCUUAGAUGGUGACACAGAAUAUGUCCUCAGAUAAACCUGCAGAUGUUACUAAUACAGAAGAGUGAUUGACAUGAAGAGUGGAAAACUUUCAUUCAAAGAAUUAUUGAGAACUGGACCAACAUUAACAACAUGAGGAUCCUGAAUCUGGGUCAGAACAACAUGUUGUAUCCAUGCAGGUUGAUAAAUAACAAGGAUGUGAUGGAAUGUAAAGCAGUACUGUACUGCGAGCUACAAAGAAGGUAGACCAUGUGUUGGACUAUAUUAGGUGGGGCAUGGGAGCAAUGUAGUAACCUGCAGCUACUAGAAGGGGAGGUACAAAGAUGACAAAAACAUCCUCGUUUUGGCAGACAGGCUGUACAACAUUGAAACAGACUGCCCAAAGAUGAUGGGGAAUCUUCAGUUGUGAGAUUGUUAAUUAAUUAAGGCAGGGUAGCACUAAGAUAUAUCUUAUCUGAACUACUGCUAGCUAGCAAAAGUAAACUUUUUGUGGAAGAGACCUCCAAAUAUCCCCUGCAAACAGCAUUUCUUUGAUUCUAAUCCUUGGAAUCUGGAGUUCUGAACCCCAUUGUCUUUGUUCCUUUGAAAGAGCACACUUCUUCUGCACAGCAGUGUAAGGCAUGUCCUCUCGUCCUCGGUUUCUGAAAAAAGUUUUCACAGAAGAUUUUAUUUAGGUUAAAAUAAAAUCUCUUGAAUUUAUUUAUGUUCAUGGCAUCUGAGGAAAUAUACAUGAAAUAUAGCAGUAUAUUUGGAUACUAUAGGUCUGAGCUUUUUGGUGCAAAAAAGGCAAACCACUUAUUUGUGUUCAUAGAUAUCCAUGCAGAAGCAGCACCAUUCACUUCAAAUGUGAUGAGAACUUAUUAAGUCAUAAAAUGAUUUGCUGUUUUAUGGCUUUGGUUCCUCUUUGUAAUGAAGUAUUGAAUUCCUGGGGGCUGUGUUGAAUGCUCACUACACACAUGCAAGCAGCAACAACAAAAUCAAUUAAACUAUUAAUUAUCUAAAAAACUAAUGUGGAAGGUUAGUCUUUUAAUAUCUUAUUUACAAAAGUAUUCAUGCAAACUGAGUGUAAGUUCAAUGUUCAGUUUCUUACCCUGGAAUUUGUUCCUAUUCUGUCAUUUGUAGAGAACAGAGAAAAAACACCUGCAAUGCUACAUUAAAAGAAAACAGCAAAGAAUUGUCUUAAUGAUUAGACAAUAUGUUACUGAAACAUAGAGCAGAAACUCACUAAUUUGUACUGUACAGGCAGAGAUAUUGUGUGUCAUAUAUUUUUCUCUCAACUUCCAUUGUACGGAAUUCCAGACUCAACUGCAGUUUUUACAACAUACAGAGUACUCCACAUGUGUGCAGUUUGGAUUUCACAGGACUGUAAAUAAUUUUAACUGUUUGCAUUGGUUGUUGGUUUUAAUCUUUUAGAUGCACGAACUCUUAAAUUUUUAUCAGGUUUUCAAAAAACUUUGAUACAGGAUAAUGCAUCUUAAAAAAUUGCAUGCCUUUACUGUAAGUCUGAGAAGAAUUUAUAUCCCUAAGGCUUUCCUCUAGGAUAUCUUCUGACAUCAAAAAGGUGAAAUUAGAAAUAGAUUCUAUUUCUUUCAGAUGUCUAUUUAAUUUUUUUUUUUCCUUCCAAACACUGUAAUUUAAUUUUAAAGUUCACUUUGAAAAUAAACAAUAAAUGAACGUGUUUUCAGAGAAAAUGCUUUCUCUUUGCUCAAAAUGAAA